rnacentral:rRNA from 1 species
GGAAGUAAAAGUCGUAACAAGGUCUCCGUUGGUGAACCAGCGGAGGGAUCAUUACAGAGUUAUCCAACUCCCAAACCCAUGUGAACUUAUCUCUUUGUUGCCUCGGCGCAAGCUACCCGGGACCUCGCGCCCCGGGCGGCCCGCCGGCGGACAAACCAAAACUCUUGUUAUCUUAGUUGAUUAUCUGAGUGUCUUAUUUAAUAAGUCAAAACUUUCAACAACGGAUCUCUUGGUUCUGGCAUCGAUGAAGAACGCAGCGAAAUGCGAUAAGUAAUGUGAAUUGCAGAAUUCAGUGAAUCAUCGAAUCUUUGAACGCACAUUGCGCCCAUUAGUAUUCUAGUGGGCAUGCCUGUUCGAGCGUCAUUUCAACCCCUAAGCACAGCUUAUUGUUGGGAACCUACGGCUUCGUAGUUCCUCAAAGACAUUGGCGGAGUGGCAGUGGUCCUCUGAGCGUAGUAAUCUUUUAUCUCGCUUCUGUUAGGUGCUGCCCCCCCGGCCGUAAAACCCCCAAUUUUUUCUGGUUGACCUCGGAUCAGGUAGGAAUACCCGCUGAACUUAAGCAUAUCAAUAAGCGGAGGA